GCUGUUGUUGUUGCUGCGGUUGUUGUUGACAAGUAAACGACGACCCAGAAUACAAUUUGAAUAGCAUAGCCCCAAAAGUGGGUAAAAUGCAUCGAACCGGUUGCCAGCCGCAGCAGCUGGAGCUUCUAGAUCGCUUCUUUCGGGGCAUGCCCCUGCUGCCAGAACCGUUUCCCAGAUCAAACCUCUGCCCUCUUAUAAUUGCUUUGAGUGCGAUUGUCAUUUGUCAUGGCGCAGUGACGGCGAUUAUAGGCUUUAUAAAUAAACAUGAGUUGUCGAAUCAUCAAAUAUACAGAUGUACAUAUGUAUGUACAGCUAAGUGGAGAGCAAUAAUCCAGAACGACAGCUCAUCCCCUUGCAACCGGAGUGAACCUUAAACCCCCGCCGACCCUCUUAUCGCACAGCCUCAGCCUCAGAUAUAUAUAUAUAUAUAUUUUGAUGCGUUAUGCAUAAAUCAGCAGAGCAACAGGUUUCAUCCGACUAGAAAACGAACACAAAAGAAGAGAAACUUUAUGGAGAGUUAUGAGAAGUGGAAGCCACGGGAGGAGAGAUCUCUCAUUAAAUCCCUCAUUGACUUAUCCUGAAGCGUUAAGCGUUGAAUUCAAAGGCAAACAACAGUCGCUGCAUUCGCGAUUUGCCAAUCGGCGAUCGCUUAUAGACAUUAUUCAUGUUGAUUCAUCAAUUAUUCAUGGGCUCCGUUUCGCCCUAGACAUGCCAAAUAUAGAGUCCACUUUCGAUGGCUUAUCGAGCGAAAUGUUUACCUGAUGGCGCUGCUGCUGCUGCUGCUCCAAAACUGAGUCAAAGUCAGAGGCAGAAGCAGAAGCAGGAGAACAAAGCGCAGUACCCGAUAGGCAAGUACAAGAGCCCCAACUGGCCCGUCUACUGGCUGCUGACUGCUGGCUGCUGACUGUUGACUGUUUAGAUAUGAGGAAGUCAAGACAAACCGCACAGAAUUCGACGCUAAUGAAAAACUAAGCUAGCCAUCACCCGGGGGCCAGUCGGACAGUCGGCCAGUUGGCCAUUCCGCGCACCACUACAGCCUUCUCCACAAAUAAUAAUAAAAGCCAAACAACCAGGUUUUUAGUUGCUCUACGAAAAGCGAAAAACCACAAAUAAAAGAAGCGGUUAGCGGUUAGCGGACGGACGCAAGACGGCCUCGUUAUUGAAUUUCAAGUGGUUUGGCCCAGAGCCAGAGCCCGAGCUUGAAUUGGGAAGGAGAAAGGGAAGGGGACAGGGACGGGGAUUAGGUGGGAAUGAAUCAGCUAUUACUAAACCAGCCAGACACGAGUCAAUUUAACAAUUAUAAAUUGUGUUAAAUAUGCACUGAGCGAAUGCAAAUCGAAGUACGUGAUUGGAGUAUCAAGACAAUCAGAUGUGUAUGUGUCGAGUCAACAAGGAAAACCUCAAACAGCCAAUGUGCCAUUCGGACAAGGCCAACACAAAUUAACAGCAAUUAAUGCAGCAAAGGCCAACAUUCGUUUAGGGGGCUUUUUAGACCACAAUAAAACUUAUCGCCUGCGAUGGAGAUAGGAAAAGCCCCGAUUAAACUUCAUUGAACUGCUGCACCCAGUCUCAGUCUCUUGCAAGGCCUUCGACAAGCCAAUCAAUACAGAAAUGCCAUGGAUUUGGAUUUUGCUAGAUUACACAUGCAGGUGUCUGCGCGAGCUUGUUGUUGAGAAGGCGGCCAGCACGGAAAUAGAACAAAAUCCAUUUGUAGGGCAGGAAAAAAGAGAAACAUCUAUUUUUGUAGUGCUGGAAUUCCCAGGGAAUUGUCAAUCCCAUAUUGUCUAGUGGUUAGGAUACCCGGCUCUCACCCGGGAGGCCCGGGUUCAAUUCCCGGUAUGGGAAAACCGUCAAAGGUUUCUUUUUUUUCGCUGAGCAAGGACCUUGCCAAGAGAAGCUCCUUUUGAUGUGCGGAACCUGGUCAUAAUCUUAUUUUAGGGAUAGAAAAUAGAG